UACGGGGGGGGUAAGCGUUGUUCGGAAUUACUGGGCGUAAAGGGCUCGUAGGCGGCCAACUAAGUCGGACGUGAAAUCCCUCAGCUUAACUGGGGAACUGCGUCUGAUACUGGAUGGCUUGGAUUCGGGAGAGGAAUGCGGAAUUCCAGGUGUAGCGGUGAAAUGCGUAGAUAUCUGGAGGAACACCGGUGGCGAAGGCGGCAUCCUGGACCGAUAUUGACGCUGAGGCGCGAAAGCCAGGGGAGCAAACGGG
rnacentral:rRNA from 1 species